CGUUAUUAAUGGUCUAAGCUUUGUGGUGACUGGUGAGUGGUGGCGACUGGCAUGUGUCGUCUGUGGUGGCGUGGGUGGCACAGAUUAAUAGAUACCACCAUAGAAUACAAUGUGAUGGAUACCACUUCAUACCACGUAAUCAUCCAUAAUACACUGUAAUCUUUGGUAUCAUCUGUGAUAUGUGAUGUGAUGUGAUACGUAGUGGUACGUGGGUAGCGUGGCGUGAUGUGAUGGAUUUGUGGUCUGUGAUGGUGACUGUACGUAGUAUCUUAAUCUGUGGUGAUGACUGGUCUGGCUCUGGUGUCAAAAAUAGAAAAUCAUCAAAAAAAAAAGGCGUGGCGCUGGCGUCAUGGCGUGGCGUGGUUUUAAAUUUCUUAUUUCGUCUCUCUCUCUCGUCUCGUGGUCUCUACAAACUCAAAGGGUAUGGUUUGAUAAUUCAUAUAAAAUAUGGUGAAUUUCGAUGCAUAUAUUAAACAGCCGUUUUAUUCGAAAUGUAAAUAAAUUCAGAAAUAUUGCAUGAAAUACGUGGUUAAGGUUAUAGCUGAAUUACAUACAGGUCUAAUAGUAAGUAAAUAUAUUCUAAAUAAUUUAACAACUUUUUGUAUAAUCCGUAACAGCCUAUUUAUCGGCCCAAUAAAUAGAGAACCAGGUCUCCUUGUAUAUAAGAGAGGAUAUGAAGCUUAAACCCACCACGCUGCUCAAAUGCGGGUUGGUGGGCUCAAAGUGAUAAUGUUAAAUUUAUUUAUUAAUGUCCAUUAUUAGAUGUUUAUAUAGACGACCUCUUGUUUUCAUUCCAAUGGCAUAAUGUAUUGUACUCAGUGUCCUUAGACUUAUUACUCUCAGCUCACUGAUCGUGUUAAAACUUUUGUGCAUCGUUUUUACACAAGGUUUGCGCGAUUGCGAAAUACUGCAUUAUUUUGAUUUAGACUACUUCCAUCUAACAUAUGAUGACAGUGAAACAUUAUACUUCAUAAUGACGCAGAAGUUAGUUUUUGAUUCUAAUUCUUUGAACUCCCACAGGGCCUCUACCUUGUUCUCAUCUCAGUAGCCCAGGUCUCAUCAACGCAAAUUCUUGGUAUCACGUUGGAACGGAAGGAAGAGCAGAGAUUGUCACUUAUUAUAUCACUUAUUAAGGCCAAGUUUCAACCUAGGUACUGUGGUUGAAAAGAUUACCAUAGAACAUAAAGCAAUGAUGAACAUGAACAAUGCAACAUCUGAAGUUUAUGUGGACAGCAUUAGUGGUCAUAACAUACAAUUCAUAGUGGUCAGCUCCUAACUUUGUUAGCAUUUACACUGAUAAAGAGGAACAGAUAGCAGCAAAAGAAUUUGUAAUGAGAUGUUGCAACAGUAGUCAAUAAGGUAAAAAGUUCAAAUUCAAAUUGUUUCUGAGAAUUUGUGAUUGGUUUAUGUAGAUAAUUGUGUAAUCAAUUAGGAAUAUUCUGAUAAGAACACAAAAGGCAUAAUGCUAGAACUUAGAAGGGAUACCACUGCAAUAGGCUACAAGUGAAGCUCUACAUAGGACAGCAGAAGUUAUGCAGACAGCAUUAAGACUGGAAGUGUUACCUAUGGACGUACACUUUGUUUUGAGGACUUUUUUCCAUUAAGUCCUGAAAACAAAUUGUGCAUCUAAAGGCAUACAAUGACCAAAUUAAAAUGCAUACAAAUUAAGUUACAGUUGAUGAUUGAAUUGAUUUAUUUUGUACUAAAGGCAUAAAGUUAAACAAGCUACUAAAUGAAGCUCUUCAUAAGAAAGCAGCAGCUUCUACUACUCUACAUAGGACAGCAGAAGUUAUGCAGCAUUAAGAGGUGACCACUGUGACUUGUAGGUAGGUACUAGUAUAUACAAGUCACAGUGGUCAGUUCCUAAUUUUGUCUGCAAUCACACUAACAAAGAACAAGGAGAUAUUGGCAACAGUUGUGGUCAAGAAAGAAGAUUAUUUGAGACUGUAUUGAUUACUUAUUUAUUUGGAUUUAUGAAAUAAUAUGAAAUUAUUUUUAGAUAUAUGAAGAUAACUUAAGUAUCAGUGUACCUAAUUAAACAGGAAUACUCUGCAAUGAACAUAAAGUUAUAAGAGUGGCAUGGCGUGCCAUGGAGUCCUGUGGAGGGCAUCACUUAUAGCCUCAUCCAGUACGCAGUGGCCUCACUGGGUGAGGCUAUAUGUGAAGCUCUUCAGUGGAAAGCAGCAGCUCCCUACACUUCAGUUGGAGAACAAGUGACCUGAACUGUUCCAUGCAAAAUGAAACAAAGGUGUCCCUAAACCAAAGUGUACAUCCAAAGGUAACACCUUUAGAUGUACAAUUAGUUUUGGGGACAUAAAUUAUGCAAGAAAUAUUUAUAAUGAAAAUGAGUAUGCAUCUCCCGGUGAGUCUUGACAUUUAUCACAUUUACUUUGUAGAUGGAUAGAAAUAUUAUGAAUGUGUUUGGCUGAAGGCUGGCAAUUAUUGUACAUCAUAUAGAGGUAUCAGUGUAUCUAAACAGGAAUACGCCGCAUUUAACAUAAAGUCGGAAGAGUGGCAUGGCGAGUGGAGUGGAGGGCAUCACUUAUAGCCGCAUCCAGUGGCCUCACUGGGUAGCUUUUCAUUGGAAUGCAUCAUCAACUUUCUACACUUCACUUGCAGAACACGUGACCGGAACUGUUCCAUGAAGAGUGAAACAAAGGUGUCCUUAAACCAAAGUGUACAUGUAAGGUCCACACCUUUAGAUGUGCAAUUAGUUUUGGGGACAUAAUUGCGCAAGAAAAUGUUUAUAAUGAAAAGGAGCAUGCAUCUCCCGGUGAGUCUGACAUAUUUUAUCGUACUUUGUAGAUGGAUAGAAAUGAUUUUCAAUUUAACCAACUUGGUUCUUUUCGUAAAACUUACCUUAUACUAAACGUUUUGGUUUCGGCUGAAACAAACUGAAAUUUCGGUCGGACAGUAGGUAUCAAUUUGUAAUGUGAUAAAAUAAUGGCAAUCUAUACUUAAUUUAAGUAUAGAUUGCCAUUAUUUUAAUGGUACACCGAUGUACUUAAUAAUCCUGCUGAUCCAGGCAGGUACACCAAUUUAUUUUAAUCAAAAUAAUCAAAUCAAAAUAAAAAGUGAUUAUUAAGUAA
rnacentral:lncRNA from 1 species